UAUUAAAAAUUUCAUCCAUUUGUAAUAUUAAAAAUUAGUUUAGUUGACGAAAUAAUUAGACAGUGACAUGUGAUGUGUCACGUGUACCUCAUGUUGACGUACAUAAACUAAUUUUAACAACAUAACUGGAUGAAAUUUUUAAUA
rfam:Gossypium hirsutum cultivar TM-1 chromosome 19, whole genome shotgun sequence